GAAGCUGGCUAGGCAGUCGCUGUAUGGUUUUCCAUGCAGAGGAAAGUCCGGGCUCCACAGAGCAGGAUGCCGGCUAACGGCCGGACGCCGCGAGGCGAUGGAAAGUGGCACAGAAAAUAUACCGCCGAUGGCCCGCAAGGGAUCAGGUAAGGUUGAAAUGGCGAGGUAAGAGCUCACCGCGUUGCUGGUAACAGCAAUGGCAAGUUAAACCCCAUCCGGAGCAAGGCCAAAUAGGGGGGCAUUGGCGCUGCUCGCGUUGCCCCCGGGUAGGCUGCUUGAGCGCUGGAGCAAUUCAGCGCCUAGAGGAAUGACUGUCCACGACAGAACCCGGCUUAUCGGCCAGCUUCACCC
rnacentral:RNase_P_RNA from 1 species